rnacentral:tRNA from 1 species
GGGGUUGUGGCUCAGUGGUAGAGCGCUCACCUAGCACAUGUGAGGCCCUGGGUUCGAUUCCCAGCACUACCU